rnacentral:misc_RNA from 1 species
AGAAGCGGAAGCGACGGCGGCAGUGAGGGGAAUCGGCCGCUGUCGAUGCAGGUGGCUCGGCAUGUCGUGUGCGCCGUCUCCGGCGGUGUGGACAGCGCAGUGGCAGCGCUGCUGCUGAGGCGGAGAGGUUACCAGGUGACCGGGGUGUUUAUGAAGAACUGGGACUCCCUGGACGAGCACGGUGUCUGCACCGCUGACAGAGACUGUGAGGACGCCUACAGAGUGUGCCGGAUCCUGGACAUCCCCUUCCGCCAGGUGUCCUACGCGAAGGAGUACUGGAACGACGUGUUCAGUGAUUUUUUAAAUGAAUAUGAAAAAGGAAGAACUCCUAAUCCUGACAUAGUCUGCAACAAGCAUAUCAAAUUCCGUUGUUUUUUUAAUUAUGCUGUGGAUAACCUUGGCGCAGAUGCGGUGGCGACAGGUCACUACGCAAGAACGUCCCUGGAAGAUGAAGAGGUGUUCCAGCAGAAACACAUCAAGAGGCCGGAAGGGCUCUUCAGAAACCGGUUUGAAGUUAGGAACGGUUCCCCAGGAGGCACUAAGGAGAACCCUCUUCCCCCUGGGGGAGUUAACGAAAGAUUUCGUAAAGAAAAUAGCUGCUGAGAACAGACUUCAUCAUGUGCUUCAGAAGAAGGAGAGCAUGGGCAUCUGUUUUAUUGGUAAAAGGAACUUUGAAAAUUUCAUCCUUGAGUAUUUACAGCCUCGACCUGGUCGAUUUAUUUCUAUAGAAGACAACAAGGUUCUGGGGACACACAAAGGUUGGUUCCUGUACACUUUGGGCCAGAGAGCCAACAUAGGAGGCUUACGGGAGCCCUGGUACGUGGUGGACAAGGAUGGUGCCAAGGGCGAUGUGCUCGUGGCCCCCCGGACGGACCACCCGGCCCUGUACAGGGACCUGCUGCGGACCGGCCGCGUUCACUGGAUCGCGGAGGAGCCGCCUGCUGCCCUGGUCCGCGACAAGAUGAUGGAGUGUCACUUCCGCUUCCGCCACCAGAUGGCGCUAGUGCCCUGCGUGCUGACCCUCAAUCAGGAUGGCACCGUGUGGGUGACUGCCGUGAAGGCUGUGCGCGCUCUCGCCCCGGGACAGUUCGCCGUGUUCUACAAAGGGGACGAGUGCCUGGGCAGCGGGAAGAUCCUACGUCUGGGGCCGUCCGCCUACACACUGCAGAAGGGCCAGAGAACGUCCAGCGUGGCCAAGGAGGGCCCCAGUGACAGCCCGGGCCUGGGGCCUGCACCCUGACGGAGGUGGAACGGCUGCUGCGGAGCUCGCGGGAGGAGGGGUGGGGAAGCGGAGCCGGGAGGCCGCCAGGGGCUCAGCACUGCCUCCCCUCUGGUGACCCGGCAGCCGCUCCAGUGCUGGCUGGAGGAUCUGUCCCAGGUGCCCAUUUGUAGGGUUCCUGCCUCACACCCCCAGGAGGGGCAGCGUCCAAUAAAAACCCUGUCUGGGA